AACAAGGUUUCCGUAGGUGAACCUGCGGAAGGAUCAUUACCGAGUUCUCGGGCUUCGGCUCGAAUCUCCCACCCUUUGUGAACGUACCUCUGUUGCUUUGGCGGCUCCGGCCCGCGGAAUGGGGGGGCAGCAGCCCCCCCUCACCGCCGGGCCCCCGCCAGAGGACCUUCAAACUCCAGUCAGUGAACGUCGACGUCUGAUAAACAAGUUAAUAAACUAAAACUUUCAACAACGGAUCUCUUGGUUCUGGCAUCGAUGAAGAACGCAGCGAAAUGCGAUAAGUAAUGUGAAUUGCAGAAUUCAGUGAAUCAUCGAAUCUUUGAACGCACAUUGCGCCCCUUGGCAUUCCGAGGGGCAUGCCUGUUCGAGCGUCAUUACAACCCUCAAGCUCUGCUUGGUAUUGGGCGCCCGUCCUCCGCGGACGCGCCUCGAAGACCUCGGCGGCGGCUGUUCGGCCCUCAAGCGUAGUAGAAAACACCUCGCUUUGGAGCGGUCGGCGUCGCCCGCCGGACGAACCUUCUGAACUUUUCUCAAGGUUGACCUCGGAUCAGGUAGGGAUACCCGCUGAACUUAAGCAUAUCAAUAAGCGGAGGA
rnacentral:rRNA from 1 species